UACGUAGGGUGCAAGCGUUGUCCGGAAUUAUUGGGCGUAAAGAGCUCGUAGGCGGUCUGUUACGUCGGCUGUGAAAACCUGGGGCUCAACCCCGGGCCUGCAACCGAUACGGGCAGACUAGAAUUCGGUAGGGGAGACUGGAAUUCCUGGUGUAGCGGUGGAAUGCGCAGAUAUCAGGAAGAACACCAAUGGCGAAAGCAGCUCUCUGGGACGGUACUGACGCUGAGACGCGAAAGCGUGGGGAGCGAACAGG
rnacentral:rRNA from 1 species